GGGGGGAGCAAGCGUUGUUCGGAAUCACUGGGCGUAAAGGGCGUCUAGGCGGUCAGGUAAGUGAGAUGUGAAAUGCCCCGGCUCACCCGGGGACCGGCAUCUCAUACUGCUUGGCUUGAGUACGGGAGAGGAUGUGGGAAUUCCUGGUGUAGCGGUGAAAUGCGUAGAUAUCAGGAGGAACACCGGUGGCGAAGGCGCACAUCUGGCCCGAUACUGACGCUAAAGCGCGAAAGCUAGGGGAGCAAACGGGAUUAGAUACCCCGGUAGUCCUAGCCGUAAACGGUGAUCACUAGGUGUUGGAGGCAUCGACCCCUCCAGUGCCGCAGCUAACGCAUUAAGUGAUCCGCCUGGGGAGUACGGCCGCAAGGUUGAA
rnacentral:rRNA from 1 species